rnacentral:rRNA from 1 species
UACGUAGGGUGCGAGCGUUAAUCGGAAUUACUGGGCGUAAAGCGUGCUCAGGCGGUUCGUUGUGUCGGCGGUGAAAGCCCCGGGCUCAACCUGGGAAUGGCCGUUGAAACUGGCGAACUGGAGUGUGGCAGAGGGGGGUGGAAUUCCGCGUGUAGCAGUGAAAUGCGUAGAGAUGCGGAGGAACACCGAUGGCGAAGGCAGCCCCCUGGGCUAACACUGACGCUCAGGCACGAAAGCGUGGGGAGCAAACAGG